GAUGAACGCUGACAGAAUGCUUAACACAUGCAAGUCAACUUGAACUUCGGUUUGGGUGGCGGACGGGUGAGUAACGCGUAAAGAACUUGCCUCACAGUUAGGGACAACAUUUGGAAACGAAUGCUAAUACCUGGUAUUAUGAUUUUAGGGCAUCCUAGAAUUAUGAAAGCUAUAUGCGCUGUGAGAGAGCUUUGCGUCCCAUUAGCUAGUUGGAGAGGUAACGGCUCACCAAGGCGAUGAUGGGUAGCCGGCCUGAGAGGGUGAACGGCCACAAGGGGACUGAGACACGGCCCUUACUCCUACGGGAGGCAGCAGUGGGGAAUAUUGGACAAUGGACCAAGAGUCUGAUCCAGCAAUUCUGUGUGCACGAUGAAGUUUUUCGGAAUGUAAAGUGCUUUCAGUUGGGAAGAAAAAAAUGACGAUACCAACAGAAGAAGUGACGGCUAAAUACGUG
rnacentral:rRNA from 1 species